AUGAUUUUCCAUUUAUCCCACUACCAAGACCCGAGCUUGCAUUACUCAUUACUCAGUGCCCAUGGGCAUAAGAAUUGUUCUUCGGAAUUUCAUCACCAUAUUAAAAAAGUUUUGAAGGAGAGGUCUUUCGAAGUGUGUGAGUUUCUCAUUCCAGCACACAUACAUUGUCAUGUACCAGCUGUUUGUAGAGCUCAUCCCAAUGAGAAUUUGUAUCUUCUUUAG
rnacentral:rRNA from 1 species